UGGGGAAUUUUGGACAAUGGGGGCAACCCUGAUCCAGCAAUGCCGCGUGAGUGAAGAAGGCCUUCGGGUUGUAAAGCUCUUUUGUCAGGGAAGAAACGGUAGUAGCUAAUAUCUAUUACUAAUGACGGUACCUGAAGAAUAAGCACCGGCUAACUACGUG
rnacentral:rRNA from 1 species